GCUCCCAUGGCAUAGUGGUCACUGCACUUGCCUUGCACGCGGGAGACCCGGGUUCGAUUCCCGGCGGGGUCA
rfam:Asian citrus Psyllid, Diaphorina citri - Florida Strain, whole genome shotgun sequence.